ACGCUCGACACCUACGGGAGCAGCAGUGGGGAAUAUUGGGCAAUGGGCGCAAGCCUGACCCAGCAACGCCGCGUGAAGGAAGAAGGCCCUCGGGUUGUAAACUUCUUUUGUCAGGGACGAAGCAAGUGACGGUACCUGACGAAUAAGCCACGGCUAACUACGUGCCAACAGCCGCGGUAAUCUGAGCGGGCUGGCAAGGC
rnacentral:rRNA from 1 species